GAUGAACGCUAGCUACAGGCUUAACACAAGCAAGUCGAGGGGCAGCACUAGGUAGCAAUACUGAGGUGGCGACCGGCGCACGGGUGCGUAACGCGUAUCCAACCUUCCCGUUACUCUUGGCUAGCCUUCCGAAAGGGAGAUCAAUACCAGAUGGUAUUCAAAUUCCGCAAGUUAUUUGAUUUAAAGAUUUAUCGGUAACGGUUGGGGAUGCGUGACAUUAGAUAGUAGGCGGGGUAGCGGCCCACCUAGACUACGAUGUCUAGGGGUUCUGAGAGGAAGGUCCCCCACACUGGAACUGAGACACGGUCCAGACUCCUACGGGAGGCAGUAGUGAGGAAUAUUGGUCAAUGGUCGGAAGACUGAACCAGCCAAGUAGCGUGAAGGAUGAAGGUUCUAUGGAUUGUAAACUUCUUUUAUACGGGAAUAAAACCUCCCACGUGUGGGAGCUUGUAUGUACCGUAUGAAUAAGCAUCGGCUAACUCCGUGCCAGCAGCCGCUGUAACAC
rnacentral:rRNA from 1 species